rnacentral:piRNA from 1 species
UCAAAGGUGCAUCUGUCUCCUCCUGC